AGGGGCAGCAAUAAAAGUAGCAAUACGUUUGGUGGCGACCGGCGCGACGGGUGAGUAACGCGUAUGCAACCUACCUAUCAGAGGGGAAUAACCCGGCGAAAGUCGGACUAAUACCGCAUAAAACAGGGGCACCGCAUGGUGAUAUUUGUUAAAGAAAUUCGCUGAUAGAUGGGCAUGCGUUCCAUUAGGUAGUUGGUGAGGUAACGGCUCACCAAGCCGACGAUGGAUAGGGGAACUGAGAGGUUGGUCCCCCACACUGGUACUGAGACACGGACCAGACUCCUACGGGAGGCAGCAGUGAGGAAUAUUGGUCAAUGGGCGGGAGCCUGAACCAGCCAAGUCGCGUGGAAAAGGAAGAAGGAUCUAUGGUUCGUAAACUUCUUUUGCAGGGGAAUAAAGUGCAGGACGUGUCCUGUUUUGUAUGUACCCUGAGAAUAAGGAUCGGCUAACUCCGUGCCAGCAGCCGC
rnacentral:rRNA from 1 species